AAGCGAGGAAGAAAAAAACAGGCAGAGCAGGGCUUAGAAAAGUCACUGACUCCAAUUUUGAUAAGAUUAACAUUUGAAAAGAGCAGUUUUUUCUUUUUUUAGUCUUUGUCUUCGUCUUCAUACUUUCCUUAGCAGGUGCCAAGCGAGGUUAAGAGAGAACAGUGAACAGGAACCAACUCAACAGCGCCUGAAUCGAAGAGGAGCCAUGAGUGAGAAAUCCCUUUGUGUGUUUUUCAUCUUGGCCUUUCUCCAAACAGGCAGUUCUGACAGUAGUGUACAUAUCAGUCAAAGACACGAGGGAGAUCGUCUGAAUGUGACCUGUAUCCUGACUGGACGAGAAAGUCUCACUCAAGUCGCCUGGGAAAUGGUGCAAGACUAUAAUUACACCAGUCUGGGUGUCUUUCAUCCCUACCUCGGCACCCACAUUCCAUCAGAGCAUGUUGACAAAGUACAGAUUAAGGGGAGUCUAUCUCCUCACGCCUGCUCCUCCGUUUCUCUGGACAUGACGGCAUCAAACAUCAGCGGAUCAAUCUGCUGUACUGUCACGACGUUUCCUUCUGGCAACCUGAAGCAGUGUGCUGAAAUCACCAACGCCAAUACAGAAAAACCUGAAGCGCAGCUAGCAGGCCGUGAACUGGGCUUACUUGGACAACUUGGAGUGUUGAUAAUUGUCUCCAUCCUUUCUUUGGGGUUCUUCAUCUUAACAGGGUAUUUUUGCUACAGCUGUUGCUGUACAAGGAAGCAAGUUUUUCACGUGCAGCAAGCAAACCUUACAGCCCCACUGGCGUCUACUGAGACAAAUACAGAGGAGCUGCAUGAAGCACAAAACACAACUCCUGGAUUUGACCCUGCAAAGCUUUACACAAAGAUCAAAGUAGAUCUUUAUUAUGGUCGCCUUUGGAAGUCCUACCAAGGCAGAGCCAGAGUCCCGACACAAGGGUCACCAUUUGCCCCGAGACAGAUUUACUACCGUCUAGGUGAAAGACCCCUGCCACAGAGAGAGGAAGAAAGCACACCCACAGGCACUGAUUCAAUAGCAGCACCACCAACAGACAGCAACAAAUGAAUGCAUCCUAAUUUAUUACGGACUACAAGCUAUCAUUUGCACACAGUACCUAACAAACAACAGCCCAUACCGCUGUGCAAGAGAAAAGAAAAAGAAAGAAAAAAGCAAUACGUAUAUAAAUGGUAUGUAAAUAUCCUGCUCCAGCACAUAUGUUUCAAUGUUAAAACUCUAUAAACACCGUAUAUUGUAUGUCUUUAUGUUUUAUUUCAAGCUGCUUAGAGAGCUUGCAUGAAUCUAAUGAGUACACUUUCUGUAAAAAGCUGCAUUUUAAUUCUGAAUAUAUUCAUUUUAACUCAUAUUGAAUGUACAGAAAAUCGAAAAGGAUUUUCAUGUUUAAUUACAUAAAACAUAUAAGAUAUGUUUUUUGUAUUUUUUAAAUGUGUUCUUUUCAUUCUUUAAGUAAUAUUUUAGUAAAAUAACAAAAAUAAAAUAAAAAAUUAAUCAUUUAAAAAUGCA
rnacentral:lncRNA from 1 species